UACGUAGGGUGCAAGCGUUUGUCCGGAAUUAUUGGGCGUAAAGAGCUCGUAGGCGGUUUGUCGCGUCUGCUGUGAAAACUCGAGGCUCAACCUCGAGACGUCGGUGGAAACUGCCUGGCUAGAGUCCGGAAGAGGAGAGUGGAAUCCUGGUGUAGCGGUGAAAUGCGCAGAUAUCAGGAAGAACACCCGUGGCUAAGGCGGCUCUCUAGUACGGUACUGACGCUGAGACGGCGAAAGCGUGGGGAGCGAACGG
rnacentral:rRNA from 1 species